GAAAUGCGAUAAGUAGUGUGAAUUGCAGAAUUCAGUGAAUCAUCGAAUCUUUGAACGCACAUUGCGCCCUUUGGUAUUCCAAAGGGCAUGCCUGUUCGAGCGUCGUUUGUACCCUCAAGCUUUGCUUGGUGUUGGGCGUCUUGUCUCCAGUUCGCUGGAGACUCGCCUUAAAGUAAUUGGCAGCCGGCCUACUGGUUUCGGAGCGCAGCACAAGUCGCGCUCUCUUCCAGCCAAGGUCAGCAUCCACAAUGCCUUUUUUCAACUUUUGACCUCGGAUCAGGUAGAGAUACCCGCUGAACUUAAGC
rnacentral:misc_RNA from 1 species